rnacentral:rRNA from 1 species
GGCAGACGGGAGAGUAACACGUGGGAACGUGCCCUUUGGUUCGGAACAACCCAGGGAAACUUGGGCUAAUACCGGAUACGCCCUAACGGGGAAAGAUUUAUCGCCAAAGGAUCGGCCCGCGUCUGAUUAGCUAGUUGGUGGGGUAAUGGCCCACCAAGGCGACGAUCAGUAGCUGGUCUGAGAGGAUGAUCAGCCUCACUGGGACUGAGACACGGCCCAGACUCCUACGGGAGGCAGCAGUGGGGAAUAUUGGACAAUGGGCGCAAGCCUGAUCCAGCCAUGCCGCGUGGGUGAUGAAGGCCCUAGGGUUGUAAAGCCCUUUCGGCGGGGAAGAUAAUGACGGUACCCGCAGAAGAAGCCCCGGCUAACUUCGUGCCAGCAGCCGCGGUAAUACGAAGGGGGCUAGCGU